rnacentral:rRNA from 1 species
AGCAAUACUCAGAUGGCGACCGGCGCACGGGUGGAGUAACACGUAUCCAACCUGCCGCUUACUCGGGGAUAGCCUUUACGAAAGAAAGAUUAAUACCCGAUGGUAUAAAGAGUUCGCAUGUUCUCUUUAUUAAAGAAUUUCGGUAAGCGAUGGGGAUGCGUUCAUUAGAUUGUUGGCGGGGUAACGGCCCACCAAGUCUACGAUGGAUAGGGGUUCUGAGAGGAAGGUCCCCCACAUUGGAACUGAGACACGGUCCAAACUCCUACGGGAGGCAGCAGUGAGGAAUAUUGGUCAAUGGACGAGAGUCUGAACCAGCCAAGUAGCGUGAAGGAUGACUGCCCUAUGGGUUGUAAACUUCUUUUAUAAGGGAAUAAAGUGAGGGACGUGUCCCUUUUUGUAUGUACCUUAUGAAUAAGGAUCGGCUAACUCCGUGCCAGCAGCCGC